UACGUAGGGUGCAAGCGUUAAUCGGAAUUACUGGGCGUAAAGCGUGCGCAGGCGGUUGUGCAAGACAGAUGUGAAAUCCCCGGGCUUAACCAGGGAAUUGCAUUUGUGACUGCACGGCUAGAAUCUGGCAGAGGGGGGUAGAAUUCCACGUGUAGCAGUGAAAUGCGUAGAGAUGUGGAGGAAUACCGAUGGCGAAGGCAGCCCCCUGGGCUAAGAUUGACGCUCAUGCACGAAAGCGUGGGGAGCAAACAGG
rnacentral:rRNA from 1 species